rnacentral:rRNA from 1 species
AGUCACUGACAUUAGAUACCCCUGUAGUCCAGGGUGUAAACGCUGCAGACUUGGUGUUGGAGGCCCUUUGGGGGCAUUCAGUGCCGGAGAGAAGUUGUUAAGUCUGCUACUUGGGGUGUACGUCCGCAAGGAUGAAACUUAAAGGAAUUGGCGGGGGAGCACCGCAACGGGAGGAGCGUGCGGUUUAAUUGGAUUCAACACCGUAAAACUCACCAGGGAAGACUGUUACAUGAAGGCCGAGAUGAAGACUCUGCUAGAUUUUCAG